UACGUAGGUGGCAAGCGUUAUCCGGAUUUAUUGGGCGUAAAGAGAACGCAGGCGGUCUUUUAAGUCUGAUGUGAAAGCCUUCGGCUUAACCGGAGUAGUGCAUUGGAAACUGGGAGACUUGAGUGCAGAAGAGGAGAGUGGAACUCCAUGUGUAGCGGUGAAAUGCGUAGAUAUAUGGAAGAACACCAGUGGCGAAAGAGGCUCUCUGGUCUGUAACUGACGCUGAGGUUCGAAAGCGUGGGUAGCAAACGGG
rnacentral:rRNA from 1 species